rnacentral:misc_RNA from 1 species
GUGAAUCAUCGAAUUUUUGAACGCAAAUUGCACUCUCUUCGGAGAGUAUGCCUGUUUGAGGGUCAGCCUAAAAAAAAAAAUCGACAUAGUCGCUGUUUCGCGGUGUCAUUCUUCGGAAAUUUUGUUAUCUUAAAUCUUUUGUUUUUAAGUGGUUUAAAAUUUUCUUUACUAUUCCACGAACUUUUCUAUGAUUUACUUCUUUAACUUUUAAGGUAU